rnacentral:rRNA from 1 species
AGUGAACGCUGGCGGUAGGCCUAACACAUGCAAGUCGAACGGCAGCACAGUAAGAGCUUGCUCUUACGGGUGGCGAGUGGCGGACGGGUGAGGAAUACAUCGGAAUCUACUUUUUCGUGGGGGAUAACGUAGGGAAACUUACGCUAAUACCGCAUACGACCUACGGGUGAAAGCAGGGGAUCUUCGGACCUUGCGCGAUUGAAUGAGCCGAUGUCGGAUUAGCUAGUUGGCGGGGUAAAGGCCCACCAAGGCGACGAUCCGUAGCUGGUCUGAGAGGAUGAUCAGCCACACUGGAACUGAGACACGGUCCAGACUCCUACGGGAGGCAGCAGUGGGGAAUAUUGGACAAUGGGCGCAAGCCUGAUCCAGCCAUACCGCGUGGGUGAAGAAGGCCUUCGGGUUGUAAAGCCCUUUUGUUGGGAAAGAAAAGCAGCAGGUUAAUACCCCGCUGUUCUGACGGUACCCAACGAAUAAGCCCCGGCUAACUUCGUG